GGGGUUUUUGAAAACUUGUUCACUCCUUACGGGGGAGACAGUCAUGAGACGUGAGUAUAAGACCUGAGUGUAAAGACCUUAGGGUGAAGCAAUUGGAGGGCAAGCUUUGGUGCCAGCAGCCGCGGUAACUCCAACUCCAAGAGUGUCUAUGGUGGAUGCUGCAGUUAAAGGGUCCGUAGUCGUGAAUGCAAUUAAAUGUCGUUGUUCAAUAGCGAUGAGUUUGCUAAUGUUUGCGGAACGGAUAGGGAGUGUAGUAUAGACUGGCGAAGAAUGAAAUCUCAAGACCCAGUUUGGACUAACGGAGGCGAAGGCGACACUCUUAGACGUAUCUUAGGAUCAAGGACGAAGGCAGGAGUAUCGAAAGUGAUUAGACACCGCUGUAGUUCCUGCAGUAAACUAUGCCGACAGCCUGUGUGUGAGAAUACGUGGGCGGGAGAAAUCUUAGUGUUCGGGCUCUGGGGAUAGUACGCUCGCAAGGGUGAAACUUAAAGCGAAAUUGACGGAAGGACACUACCAGGAGUGGAUUGUGCUGCUUAAUUUAACUCAACGCGGGAAAACUUACCAGGGUCAAGUCAUUCGUUGAUCGAAUACGUGAGAAUGGCAGGAUGGGUUGCAUGGAAGGGGG
rnacentral:rRNA from 1 species